rnacentral:rRNA from 1 species
GACGAACGCUGGCGGCGUGCUUAACACAUGCAAGUCGAACGCGCUUGGCCUUUUUUGGGGUUGGGUGAGUGGCGAACGGGUGAGUAACACGUGGGUGACCUGCCUUGAGCUCUGGGAUAAGCCUGGGAAACUGGGUCUAAUACUGGAUAUGACCAAUUCUUGCAUGGGGGUUGUGGAAAGUUUUGUUCUUUGUUGGACAUUUCGGCUCGAGAUGGGGCCCGCGGCCUAUCAGCUUGUUGGUGGGUGAUGGCUUACCAAGGCGA